AAUACGAGAUGCUAAGGCAUUGAAGUGGUUGAUGUCAUACUUCCAAGAAAAGCUCGAACUAGCAUAAAUACUAAAUGCCUGUACCUUAAACCGACACAGGUAGGUAGGUAGAGUAUACCAAGGGGCGCGAGACAACUCUCUCUAAGGAACUCGGCAAAAUAACCUCGUAACUUCGGAAGAAGAGGUGCCCUUUAAAAAGGGUUGCAAUAACCAGACCCUGGCGACUGUUUACCAAAAACACAGGUCUCCGCAAAUUCGUAAGAUUAAGUAUGGAGGCUGACGCCUGCCCAGUGCCGGAAGGUUAAAGAAGUUGGUCAAUCCUCGGAUGAAGCUAGCGACUGAAGCCCCGGUGAACGGCGGCCGUAACGAUAACGGUCCUAAGGUAGCGAAGUUCCUUGUCGGGUAAGUUCCGACCCGCACGAAAGGCGUAACGAUCAGGGUGCUGUCUCGGAGAGAGGCUCGGCGAAAUAGACAUGUCUGUGAAGAUGCGGACUACCUGCACCUGGACAGAAAGACCCUAUGAAGCUUUACUGUAUCUUGGAAUUGGGUUUGGGCUUUGUUUGCGCAGGAUAGGUGGGAGGCUUUGAAGAUAUUCUUGUGGGAAUGUUGGAGCCAACGGUGAGAUACCACUCUAGCAAGGCUAAAAUUCUAACUUUGAACCGUUAUCCGGUCAAAGAACAGUUUCAGGUGGGCAGUUUGACUGGGGCGGUCGCCUCCUAAAAAGUAACGGAGGCGCGCAAAGGUUCCCUCAGGCUGGUUGGACAUCAGUCGUAGAGUGUAAAGGCAUAAGGGAGCUUGACUGCGAGACCUACAAGUCGAGCAGAGACGAAAGUCGGCCUUAGUGAUCCGACGGUUCCGAGUGGAAGGGCCGUCGCUCAACGGAUAAAAGUUACUCUAAGGAUAACAGGCUGAUCUCCCCCAAGAGUUCACAUCGACGGGGAGGUUUGGCACCUCGAUGUCGGCUCAUCGCAUCCUGGGGCGGUAGUACGUCCCAAGGGUUGGGCUGUUCGCCCAUGAAAGCGGUACGCGAGCUGGGUUCAGAACGUCGUGAGACAGUUCGGUCCAUAUCCGGUGCAGGCGUUAGAUCAUUGAAAGGAGUCCCCCUUAGUACGAGAGGACCGGGGGGAAUACACCUCUGGUGUACCAGUUAUCAUGCCAAUGGUAAACGCUGGGUAGCCAUGUGUAGUGUGGAUAACUGCUGAAAGCAUCUAAGUAGGAAGCCCACCUUAAGAUGAGUGCUCUCACCGCUAUAAGCGGGUAAGAUCACGGUAAGAACAACCGUUAUAUAGGCACUAAGUGUACGUACAGUAAUGUACUUAGCUAAGGUGUACUAACAGAUCGAGGGC
rnacentral:rRNA from 1 species